ensembl:lncRNA
UUGCUUUUUAGAUCAGUUUAAUUCAGGAUUGUGUUAAUACAUGCUCACAUCUGCUUGAAGAUUCAUGCAAUCGAACUUCUGGAAAGCAUGUGUUUGAAUGAUUCAGUUCUUGUAUCUGAAGUUGAAUACAGCUCAGGGAAUGCAUCAUUCUUCUUCAUAUGAACAGCAGAAUAUGAUGGAAAGUGACUCCAGCACUGAAGCUCUACACGACUUUAUGGGGAGAAUCUGCCCUAAUCACUCACUGAUUAAUGGUUUCCCGGCAGCUAGAAGGUCUUGGAUCAUCUCACAGCAGAGGAGUUGACAGGACUGAUGCUCAUCUGACAGAUAUCAGACUCGAGAGGAUCCUCACGAUUACACACACACACACACACACACACACACAUCUGACAGGUAAGACCUUCCAAUCUGUGUCUUUUAAACCUUAUUUAUUUAUAAUGAAUGAGCAGCAAUGUACUGAAGUACAGAAAUGAUCUGCAUAUCGUAUAUAUCUUUUUAAAUCUUUGCAUUAUGUAGAAAUUACUCGUCUAACUCUCGGCUCAUAAUUGACGUUCACUGCAGUGUAAUAUUCACAUGUGGGCUGUCUGGGAUGUUUCUGUACAGUAGCUGAUCGGGGUGUGGCCCUGUAUGGCCUAUAAACUCAACAGUUAUUUUACUACAGCAUUGCUGAGGUUUUCAAAAACAGCAGUGCAUGUAAUGUAGUGUGACUGCUGGUAACUUCUAUGCUGUUUAUUACAUUAAUUUUAACAUUGUUUAUAGUCUUCUGUUUGGUAUGUUUUAGUGAUGUUUGACAAGAAAAGCAUUGCUGUUAUUAAUGUCGGUUUUAAAUAUUACACUAAACAUUUGUGGUCUUGUUGAGGAGAGUUUGUGCUGUUACUUUAGUAACUGAUCAGAUGCAGCUGCUGGACCAGAAAACAGGUGAAAAAAUCACCCAGAUGCACAAUGGAGGAGGAACUGGACAACAUCUAAAAACUAGAUGAUGACAGAGCGAGGGUGCGGGACUCUCUUUGUGACAGACAGGAAGAAAAUACAGAAACCACCCAAAACAUCCUAGCAACUGUAUAGCAACCAGCCAGAGUACCUUAACAACUGCCUAGCAAUCUUAACAUCAGCAAAUUUUUGGUGCGUGCACCAAAGACAUUUUUUUUUUAAAUAAAAUACAGCAACAAUACA